UACGUAGGGGGCUAGCGUUGUCCGGAUUUAUUGGGCGUAAAGAGCGUGUAGGCGGCCAGGUAGGUCUGCUGUGAAAACUCGAGGCUCAACCUCGAGACGCCGGCGGAAACCAUCUGGCUAGAGUCCGGAAGAGGAGAGUGGAAUUCCUGGUGUAGCGGUGAAAUGCGCAGAUAUCAGGAAGAACACCCGUGGCGAAGGCGGCUCUCUGGGACGGUACUGACGCUGAGACGCGAAAGCGUGGGGAGCGAACAGG
rnacentral:rRNA from 1 species